GUGGAAAUGCCGGGGAAUCAAACCAUGAUCCUCCUCAACCAGACAACCCUGGAAUUCGGAAACAGUGGCAUGAAGAUGUUUCUCAAUAUCGUCGAGAAGAGCUUGUUCACAAACUUGUUCAAGCCAUAUUUCCUGUUCCGGAUCCUGCUGCUUUAGAAGACCCACGGAUGGAAAACACAAUUGCAUAUGCCCGGAGAGAGGAAGGGGACGCGUAUGAAUCUGCAAAUAGUCGCGAGGAAUACGAACACCUGCUAUCUGAGAAGAUCAGUAGAAUCCGGGAAGAAGAAGAAGAAAGACGAAUGACAAGGCUACGGAUACUAAACAUGCCACCAAAUGCUGCAGG